UAUUAACAGCUUUUGAGAUACGUUUAAAUAAUUUUUUUUCUUGUAACAUUUUUUAUUAAAGCAAUUGAUUUAACCCAAGUGAUCUUUGGCUCUCUUAGAUUUUGUAUAUGAUUUAAAGAGCCUCUCUACAAAUAUUGUUAUAUCAUCUAAAAAUAAAGUUAAUGUAAUUUAAACUAAAUUAAAUGACUAAACAAUAACGAGUAGAAUGUGAAGUUAGUUAAUUCAUUUUAGUUAAGUUAUAUCAAUUUGUUGGAUUAUGUUCCCAAAUUAAACAACUUAGGUUGGUAUAAAUUAAAAAUGGAUGAACAACAAGUAAAUGAAAUAUUUGCCGGCUGAUCGGCGUAAUUUAUGUGGAAUACUCAAUGGCGUAAACAGAAGGACUAUGAAGAGUACACGGAAAAACAAUGCGUGUCACUUUUUUUAAGAAACCGAGAUUUUGGGGACAAAAAAUUAUGAUGUAUUUUUACAUAGGGUCAAGUGGGGUAAAUGGAAAUGAAAUUUACAUGUUUUACAACUUUUAUUAGAUUCAUGUAGUAAUAAUUUUUUUUAAUUUUGGUUUAGAUAAAAACUAUUUAACUAUAUACAAUAUGUGUCUAACAUUUCAAUCAAACGUUAAAAUAGUUGAUUAUUUUAAUAGAAAAAAUAAUAUAAAAUUUCAUAAAAAAUGUACAUUUGCCCCAUACUUCUGGGGUAAAUGAAAAUAACUAUUUCCAACAGCAAGUGUUAUAUUGAACAAACAUAUUGGGCAAAUGAAAUUGUUCUGUUACAGCUAUCAUUAUAUUAUUUCAUAUAUUCGAUACCUACAAAUUUCCAUUUGUCCCAAAUAGUAUACUGUGUAUGGGGUAAAUGCAAAUUAAAGUAUAGUUGAUAAUGUUAUAAGCCUGGGGCAAAUGAAAAUUUGUUUGAAUUACAUAAAUUACAAUUAAAUUAGUCAAAUAAUUUGGUAAUCUUUAUUAUUUUAACAUAAUUUAGUACAGUUUAAUGCUUACUUACUAUUUCAUAAACUUUCAAAAUAUAUUAACAGUCUUUUGUUUUCAUAUAAUAGUGAUAAUAAUAAUUUAACAUAAAAAAGAACAAUGUAAAGUAAAAAUUAUAAACAAAAUAACAAACUAACAGCAUUUUUAGUUUCAAAAUAUAUCACAUAAAUUAAUGUAUGUAACAUAGUGCCUAAACUGAUUAUUUUUCAUCGACAUUUAUGUAUCCAGGAAAUGUGUAUAUCGUUUUUCUGUUCUUCUUAUGUUCAGUUGGUAUUGGUAAUAUUGCAAGAAUCAUCUCUACUGUAAUAUCUGACAAGUCAUUUUCAACAAUAUAAAAAUCAGUUCCAAUUUCAUUAUUUUUUUUUAAUCCUCGGACUAAAAUAUCCCCAUCAUCUUCAUCUAUACGUUUAACUAAACAUACAUACUUAAAAUGUUGUUUCUUACGGUUCCCUCCAAUAAAAUCUAUUAAAAGAAAUACUCCAGGUUUUAUUUGAGACCAAAUUGGUGUAUUGUAUAAAACUUCUUCAAUACUUAAAUCUAAUGAAUUGUCAUUACAAUCAUCUCCUGAUGAAUGAUAAACUCAUCAUCAAUAUUAUCAAUUGAUUGUUCCAACACAAUAUUUUGUACAUCUUUAAUAGCUUUCUUAUGUCUCCCAAGUUUUCUAGGAUAUUUGAUUAGCUUUUUCUUUGAGGUUGCUUCCUCCAAUUAUUUUAACACAU